rfam:Myotis brandtii contig274072, whole genome shotgun sequence.
GUCACUUCUUGGCCUUUUGGCUAAGAUCAAGUGUAAAAGGGCUUUAUUAUAUUGAUUAUUACUACUUGCUGUUUGAAAUCCACUUUGAAAAUAGAGGCAAGAGUUAUUUAUUUACACUUAAAUAAUUACUUUUAAAAUUCU